UUCCUAAGUUUUUGCUUUUUCCAGUAAUUCUUCAUAUUCUGCACUUCCUUCCGAGGUACACUCGAUCCUCUGAUGCCACCUAGGGGGCACCUGCAAGAUUAGGAUCUCCGUGUUUUCCCUGCUUCUAUGAACAGAGCACCUUUUCCACAGUGGGCUGUGGAAUGUUUGAAACCCUUAGCAUCAUUUGGUUUUCAAAAUCCUAACUUUGUGGUGGUUUAGCCAACCUCUCCCUGCUGCUUACUUUUCUUCUCCAUUGCUGUUUGAAGGGCUGGAGGCAUGUCAGCUGGCUUGCUUUUCCUAAAUAACCCCCAGGGUAGGACCAUUGUCACCACCACUGGCUUCCUCUUCCCUAGCUUUUGAAAGCCGGGAGGGACAGUCAAGUAAUUUGCUCUGUUGAGCGGGAGGCCAACCCUUUGCUCUGUGACUUGCCAUCUCCUAAUUGUUUCUUUUGAGCGCCUCUCUUUCCCUCUGGUCUCUGAGUUACUGUCCUCUUUGAUGGGCUCCUUUCAGCAUGAUGACCGCCAAAAUGAAAGUUGAUUUUUAAAGCUGGACUGAGCAGACCAGCAGCAGGGAGGGCUGUGGAGGAGACUCUGUUCAUAUCUUCUUUUUCACUGUAUUAGUUGAUAACAGAGAACUUCAACCUAAAUUUGUUUUGAGACUUAGAAAUGGAGAAAUAAUGUGAUGUGUUAUUCUGAACAACCAAAUAAAAACUGAGUAUGGACGUAUACAUUAUUGUAUAAUGUAGUAUAGGAGUUCUGACUGGCAUUCUGGGAUCCUUGCUUUGGUGAGGUCAUUCAUCAUGGUAGGAACGUGAAGUUGAGCACAAACCCCUUCCCAUGCUCGAAACAGGAUGAGGCUAGGGCCUCGCUGCCCUCUUCAGGAGCAGUGAUGUAAAGACAGCUCAUUGAGCCCCAUCUCUCAGGUUCCACUAGUUCUCCAUAGGGCUAAGGUGGGUAAAGUAUUAAACCCACAGACCUCUGGGACGUGCUGACCCUAACCACAGCACAAUUGAAUCUGUGUUUGAAGGAGCCAGUGCUGAGCCAGCAAGCCCGUUCUGUAGUCAUUAUCUCCAUAGAUGUGCGGGUCUCUGUGUCCACCAUGGCUAGCAGAGUAAUGAUCUGUGGGAGGCAAGAAGUUAGUUCAGCUCAAAACGAUUCAGUGGCUAGUGUUGCUUCAAACUUUAAGAGUCUAACCCCAAAUAGUUUAUUUUAGGCAUGUUUAAGUCUAGUGUAACUUGGUGAAAAUUUUUCCGAUAAUAACUCAAUCUGUGCGCACCAUAAAGCUUAAGGAAUGAGUACAUCAGAACUCUCUGUAAUGUAUAGGUGACAUAUUACAUAAAGUUGGGUUCUAUAGGUUGACUACAUGUGACAUCUUCCAUAAAGAUGGGUUCUAUAGGCUGAGAAGCUCAUGAUAAGGGCCCAGGGCUUCCCCUAGCACUUAAUCUGGGAACACAAGAACCUCUGUGCCUCCCACACAUAGACAUUACUUAAAAUACAAUAACUAAAUAUAAAAUCCUAACUCAUGUAAAACAAGUGAGCUACUUACAUACCUAUUUGCACGUGUGUAUACAUAUAGUGUAUAUGAAUUCCUUUUGUGAUAUCUUUUGACUUGUGUGUAUAUGUUCAUGUAGGUACAAGAGCAUAUGGAGGCCACAAAAGGGCUUUGGAACCCUUGUAGCUGAAGUUAAACUAUCGGUGGUUGUAAGCCAUGUAACAUGGGUGCUGGGAACUGAACUGUGGUCCUCUUCAAGGACAAUAGGAACACUUCACGACUGAACCAUCUUUUCAGUGCCUUUGAAUCCUGUGUUAAGGGCUGGUGUUAUGGGGAGCCCACCAGAGAUGAUCACUCAACCACGUUUCUUAGCCAACUGAAAGUCUUGAUUCCGGCUGGCUGGGACUAUACACAGGGAUUUGGAUCACCAUGAAACCCUCAGCAUUUAGAUCAAGGGGAUUUUAAAGGGGAAAAGUGCAUCCUGUUAUCGUCCUCAGCAGCUGAAGGGGAAGUUUGUACAAGCAAGCAGCUUAACAGAAGCUAAGCUAAGUUGGCUGGGGCAUUUUGGUCUCAGGUCCUAGAACAGAGUUGGAUUAUUUUCCACGGGAUUCUAAAUCAAGGAGAUCAAAUUCUGGGUAAACAUG
rnacentral:lncRNA from 1 species